ensembl:lncRNA
UUUUAUUUUCAUUGGGUUAAAAUGUGGAAGUAGAAAACAGGUAAACAACAGCAACUAAUAUAUUUUUAAUUGCUCAACUAAAAGCUAAGCAGAAAACAGUUUUCUCAAGUCAACGUUAUCACAGGCAUUUCCUUACAGAGAUCUUUAAUAUAAAGCCACCACACAAACUUUACUCACUCGACAUAAUGCCAAAACAGAAGAAGGUGUCAUGUAGAACAAAGCAACUCAAAAACAAAAAACAUGAGCUAGAACCCCAGAUUCAGACCCCUCACUUUAAACACAUUUGCACAUCCUUUUAAUACUGUCUCACUGUAGCCAUGGAUGUUUAAUAAAAACAGUUCUAGGCCUACUUUUUCACAUUCCCUAUCACAGUGGUUCUCAAACUUUUUACCAUGAGUACCACCUUAGAAAUGAUUUGGCUCUCCAAGUACCACCGGAAUUAAAAUAAAGUGCGUAGGCCUAUAACUACAUAGAGUUUACACAGAAGGCAU